CAGUCGCGUUCUCUGGGAUUCAGCCUUGCUUCUUGCUUGGUGCAUUUCCUAGUCUACGGGCCAGCAUGAAUCUUGAGCGGUGGAAAAGGGUUUGGGGAAUGUGGCACCUCCGGGUGUGUUAUAGCCCCUUGCUGUAUACACUGGUUGGGAUUGAGGAACGCAGCGCGCCAUUUUGGCCGGGGUCGCUCCUCUCGACACGCGCUUAGGAUGCUGGCAUAAUGGCUUUAAGCGGCCCGUCUUGAAACACGGACCAAGGAGUCUAACAUAUAUG
rnacentral:rRNA from 1 species